rnacentral:rRNA from 1 species
GGCGCGAAAUCUUCGCAAUGCGCGAAAGCGUGACGAGGGAACCCCCAAGUGCCAGGGCACAACCCUGGCUUUUCUGAAGUGUAAAAAGCUUCAGGAAUAAGGGCUGGGUAAGACUGGUGCCAGCCUCCGCGGUAACACCAGCAGCUCAAGUGGUGGCCACGUUUAUUGGGCUUAAAGCGUCCGUAGUCGGUUUUGCAAGUCUUCUGUGAAAUCCUGCAGCUUAACUGUAGGAAUUGCAGGAGAUACUACAAGGCUUGAGGCCGGAAGGGGGAUGGGGUAUUCCAUGGGUACCGGUGAAAUGGUAUAAUCCAUGGAAGACCACCUGUGGCGAAGGCGCCAUCCUAGAACGGGCCUGACGAUGAGGGACGAAAGCUAGGGGAGCGAACCGGAUUAGAUACCCGGGUAGUCCUAGCCGUAAACGAUGCGGACUUAGUAUUGCCGAAGCCUCGAGCUACGGCAGUGCUGUAGGGAAACUGUCAAGUCCGCCGCCUGGGAGUAUGUCGCAA